CAGAGCUGGAGGUGUCUAGGGGAGAGGAUGCAGGAUCAGGAUGCCGGGGUCCUUAUCUGGCUCUGCCACUGACUCACUAUGUGAUUCUAGAGCUUUAGAUGGUCUUUCAGAUGUCCUGGGCUCAGGCCAGGGAGAGCUUUGAAGAUAAG